UACGAAGGGGGCUAGCGUUGUUCGGAAUUACUGGGCGUAAAGGGCGCGUAGGCGGUACUUCAAGUCAGGCGUGAAAGCCCCGGGCUCAACCUGGGAACCGCGCUUGAGACUGGAGAACUAGAGUUCGGGAGAGGAUGGUGGAAUUCCCAGUGUAGAGGUGAAAUUCGUAGAUAUUGGGAAGAACACCGAUGGCGAAGGCAGCCAUCUGGACCAGCACUGACGCUGAGGCACGAAAGCGUGGGGAGCAAACAGG
rnacentral:rRNA from 1 species